UUUUUAAUACGGUAGUAACGAGGCGCUAUGCACUAUGCAUUGAGUACAAUCAAUAUGCACAGCCACAGAAAAUGUGUCACCAAAGUAGCUACAAAGUACAUGGCAAUUUACCUUUGAAAGAAUUACAAAUCAGCAUCCAGAGUAAGAGCAAAGUUCAUAUGAAGCAGAGAAAGUUAUGCACAUUCAAUGUUUAUGGGGAAUAUACACAAACAAGAAUUAGUUUGCCUUUAUCAGCUACACAUAAUUAUAUACAGGAUGGCCCAUCUGAAACAGCUGUUCCCAUGAUCUGUUCAAUCCUUCCCUUUUCUCAAGAAUCUGAAAAAGGCAAACUCUAGACUGUUUUGUUCAAAAUUAAGGAAGAAAAUGAGAAAAACCAUGUCAAUGUAUAGUUCCCAACAGGCCUUAAAACAGACACCGAUAUCAUGGAAUAUUAAAUGAUCAAAAAACAGCAACAGCUUUAGAAAUUCAUGACAGGCUGUGCUGUGUUAGUUAAAAUCAAAA